ACGAACGCUGGCGGCAUGCCUAACACAUGCAAGUCGAACGAGACCUUCGGGUCUAGUGGCGCACGGGUGCGUAACGCGUGGGAACCUGCCCUUAGGUUCGGAAUAACUCCCCGAAAGGGGUGCUAAUACCGGAUAAUGUCUUCGGACCAAAGAUUUAUCGCCUUUGGAUGGGCCCGCGUUGGAUUAGCUAGUUGGUAGGGUAAAAGCCUACCAAGGCGACGAUCCAUAGCUGGUCUGAGAGGAUGAUCAGCCACACUGGGACUGAGACACGGCCCAGACUCCUACGUGAGUCAGCAGUGGGGAAUAUUGGACAAUGGGCGAAAGCCUGAUCCAGCAAUGCCGCGUGAGUGAUGAAGGCCUUAGGGUUGUAAAGCUCUUUUACCCGGGAUGAUAAUGACAGUACCGGGAGAAUAAGCUCCGGCUAACUCCGUG
rnacentral:rRNA from 1 species